AUUGAACGCUGGCGGCAUGCCUUACACAUGCAAGUCGAACGGCAGCGGGGGAGAAGCUUGCUUUUCCUGCCGGCGAGUGGCGAACGGGUGAGUAAUACAUCGGAACGUGCCCUGUAGUGGGGGAUAACUAGUCGAAAGAUUAGCUAAUACCGCAUACGACCUGAGGGUGAAAGUGGGGGACCGCAAGGCCUCAUGCUAUAGGAGCGGCCGAUGUCUGAUUAGCUAGUUGGUGGGGUAAAGGCCUACCAAGGCGACGAUCAGUAGCUGGUCUGAGAGGCCGAUCAGCCAAACUGGGACUGAGACACGGCCCAGACUCCUACGGGAGGCAGCAGUGGGGAAUUUUGGACAAUGGGCGAAAGCCUGAUCCAGCAAUGCCGCGUGUGUGAAGAAGGCCUUCGGGUUGUAAAGCACUUUUGUCCGGAAAGAAAUGGCUCUGGUUAAUACCUGGGGUCGAUGACGGUACCGGAAGAAUAAGGACCGGCUAACUACGUGCCAGCAGCCGCCGUAAAAC
rnacentral:rRNA from 1 species